rnacentral:rRNA from 1 species
AAAUGACUGCUAAUACCGCAUAAGCGCACGGGAUCGCAUGAUCCAGUGUGUAAAAACUGAGGUGGUAUGAGAUGGACCCGCGUCUGAUUAGCUGGUUGGUGAGGUAACGGCCCACCAAGGCGACGAUCAGUAGCCGACCUGAGAGGGUGACCGGCCACAUUGGGACUGAGACACGGCCCAA